GGGGUAUUGGUUUUCGGACCAAGAGACCGGCGCACGGGUGCGUAACGCGUAUGCAAUCUACCUUUUACAGAGGGAUAGCCCAGAGAAAUUUGGAUUAAUACCUCAUAGCAUUGCAGAAUGGCAUCAUUCAGCAAUUAAAGUCACAACGGUAAAAGAUGAGCAUGCGUCCCAUUAGCUAGUUGGUAAGGUAACGGCUUACCAAGGCAACGAUGGGUAGGGGUCCUGAGAGGGAGAUCCCCCACACUGGUACUGAGACACGGACCAGACUCCUACGGGAGGCAGCAGUGAGGAAUAUUGGUCAAUGGGCGCAAGCCUGAACCAGCCAUGCCGCGUGCAGGAUGACGGUCCUAUGGAUUGUAAACUGCUUUUGUACAGGAAGAAACAUCUCUACGUGUAGAGACUUGACGGUACUGUAAGAAUAAGGAUCGGCUAACUCCGUGCCAGCAGCCGCGGUAAUACGGAGGAUCCAAGCGUUAUCCGGAAUCAUUGGGUUUAAAGGGUCCGUAGGCGGUUUAGUAAGUCAGUGGUGAAAGCCCAUCGCUCAACGGUGGAACGGCCAUUGAUACUGCUAGACUUGAAUUAUUGGGAAGUAACUAGAAUAUGUAGUGUAGCGGUGAAAUGCUUAGAGAUUACAUGGAAUACCAAUUGCGAAGGCAGGUUACUACCAAUAUAUUGACGCUGAUGGACGAAAGCGUGGGGGGCGAACAGGAUUAGAUACCCUGGUAGUCCACGCCGUAAACGAUGGAUACUAGCUGUUCGGAGCAAUCUGAGUGGCUAAGCGAAAGUGAUAAGUAUCCCACCUGGGGAGUACGUU
rnacentral:rRNA from 1 species